rnacentral:rRNA from 1 species
UACGAGGGGGGGCAAGCGUUGUUCGGAAUUAUUGGGCGUAAAGGGCGCGUAGGCGGUGCGGUAAGUCACCUGUGAAAACUCUGGGCUCAACUCAGAGCCUGCAGGCGAAACUGCCGUGCUUGAGUGUGGGAGAGGUGCGUGGAAUUCCCGGUGUAGCGGUGAAAUGCGUAGAUAUCUGGAGGAACACCGGUGGCGAAGGCGGCAUCCUGGACCAACACUGACGCUGAGGAGCGAAAGCCAGGGGAGCAAACGGG